AGUGAACGCUGGCGGUAGGCCUAACACAUGCAAGUCGAACGGCAGCACAGUAAGAGCUUGCUCUUACGGGUGGCGAGUGGCGGACGGGUGAGGAACACAUCGGAAUCUACUUUUUCGUGGGGGAUAACGUAGGGAAACUUACGCUAAUACCGCAUACGACCUACGGGUGAAAGCAGGGGAUCUUCGGACCUUGCGCGAUUGAAUGAGCCGAUGUCGGAUUAGCUAGUUGGCGGGGUAAAGGCCCACCAAGGCGACGAUCCGUAGCUGGUCUGAGAGGAUGAUCAGCCACACUGGAACUGAGACACGGUCCAGACUCCUACGGGAGGCAGCAGUGGGGAAUAUUGGACAAUGGGCGCAAGCCUGAUCCAGCCAUACCGUGUGGGUGAAGAAGGCCUUCGGGUUGUAAAGCCCUUUUGUUGGGAAAGAAAAGCAGCAGGUUAAUACCCCGCUGUUCUGACGGUACCCAAAGAAUAAGCACCGGCUAACUUCGUG
rnacentral:rRNA from 1 species